CAAGUUCUAGUGUGAAAAUAAAACCUCAGAGAAGAGCAGCAAGUUCAAGCAGCACAAAGCAAAGCAGAGAAGCGUACUUUUAUUUGAAACAAUGACUCUUAGGAUUUAGAUAUGGAUAAACUAAAAGCUUGGAAAAUCUGGAAAGAAGAGAAACGGCCGGAAAACACUUCUGGUUGCCCCUAGGUAAUGGUGACACAAAGGGGAAGAAGUAAAGUUAAGGUGGUUGUACCUUCAGAAUGAAAUGAAGAACCUCAUUUGUCAACCUCAGAGUACAGGAAAGUGGAUUAGGAAGUAUGAAAACAUUAAAGAAGGCGUGUUCUAAUGGUAUUUAUUAGAGAAGUAAACCACAUGUCAUUUACUCUGAACUAGAUGGUGGUUCAUGCAGUGACCAAAGGAAAAUAUGACACUUGAUUUUUUGGAAUUGGAAACAACAGAGAAAUCAGACUUUGCAUUUUAAGUGGUUGAAGUCAGUAUCAACAGAGUUGAAUAACCCAUAACUUACCUAUUGAAAUAAAAUA